rnacentral:lncRNA from 1 species
UACAAUCAAGAAAAUUGUUUUCUAAAGAGGGGGAGGGAGGAAGGGAGUGAUAUUUCAGCUCUAGCUUUACAAUCAAGAAAAAAAAAAUUCACAAUAUGCAAUACUUGUCUCCAAGAUCAAAAUGGUAAAGAGUACAAUCAAGAAAACUGUUUUUCACAAUAGACAAUACUCCUCUAAGAUGAAAAUUGUUUUUCACAAUAGACAAUACUCCUCUAAGAUGAAAAUUGUUUUUCACAAUAGACAAAAUUCUUCCCUGGGAUUAAAAUAGUGAGGUGUACAAUCAAGAGAACUGUUUUUCACAGUAAACAAAAUUCUUCUCUAAGGUAAAAAUACUAAAGUGAGAACCUAGAAAAUAUUGUCUCUAGCUGUGCAAUUAAGAAAACUGUUUUUCACAAUAGACAAUACUCUUAUCCGAGCUCAAAAUAGUAAAGUGAGAGAGUAGAGUGGCCAGAAAAGGAGGGAGAGAGGGAGGGAAAUUUUGUCUCUACUCCUAAAAUCAAGAAAAUUGUUUUUCACAAUGAAUGAAACUCCUCUCUGAGAUCGAAAUAGUAAAGCAAGAGAGUUGAAAAUUUUGUCUCUAGCUGUACAACCUAGAAAACUGUUUUUCACAAUAGACUCUUCUCUGUGACCAAAAUAGUAAGGGAAAGCAUAGAAAAUUUUAUUUCUGACUGUAAAAUCAAGAAAACUGUUUGUCACAAUGGGCAAAGCUCUUAUACAAUAUGAAAUCACUAAAGUGAGCAAGUAGAGUAGCCAGAAGAGGGAUGGAGAGAGGGAAGGAGGGGAUUUAGUCUCUAACUAAGAAAACUGUUUUUCACAAUAGACAAAAACUAUUCCUUGAGAUCAAAAUAGUAAGCUGAGAUAAUAGAAAUCACAUUGAUGGUCAUUAAUUGGAUCUAGAGCUAUGUAGCAUCGUUGCGUCUGUUCAUUUUUUCUCUACUUUAUAAUUGUUAAUAGUUGGUGCAAUUACUGAUAUCUUCAUUUUGUAGGUUGAGUGGCAUAACUAUUUUCUGGAGCUUUGUUGGUCCCUUG